ensembl:lncRNA
GGCCAGAGCCAAUGCCAAACAGGCAGCCAGGGGGACCACGGCCAUUGCCAGGGUAACCGAAAUCUGCACUAUCGAGGGAUUUCUGGAAGGAUUCGAUUCUCUCUUGGAGCCUAUCCAGGAACAUCGAGUGAAAACAACAUACGAGAAGGUUUCAGAGUUGGGAGGGGAGGCAGGUGCCACCUGCGGACUGCUGCAUCCAGAGGGCACGCCUCUGGGGGCCCUGCAGCCCAGGGAGCCCACAUUUCUGCACCUGGAAGGAAAGUCUGCUCAGACUCUCAUGGCAAUCCAGGAGGGCAGCCUGUUUCAGGGGCCUGGAGGCCGGUGCAGAAACCCUUUAGGUCUCUUCCCUGUAUCACAGACCUGGGGCUCUCCAAUCCUGAGAAGAAUCUGACUUUCACAGCUUCCUCUGCAGGCCCUCUGACUGCCCAGAGUCUCAAGGCAUUCUCCAGAAAGGUGUCCACACUGGAGUCCAGAGGAGUCUUCCCUGGGUUCAUGGAAUUCAUUAGUCUUAUCUCCUUAGAGGCUUCCCCUCCUCUUCCCCGGCAUGGCAUGGCAUUAAGAGCUGGAGAGUGUAGUCUCAUCAUCUAAAUCAACUUUAUAAGCCACCAGUGGCUCUGUCCUCACUUUAACUGGAAGCAUGAACCACUUGCCAGGACUGAAAAUGUCAUUUCACUGCUUGACUUCCUUCUCUGUCUGCAGCAUCAGAACUCAGGUCACUUUGGGACUUACCUAGUGAUCCAGUGGUUAGCAUUCCACAUUUCCACUGAAGGGGGCACACGUUCAAUCCCUGGUCAGGGAACUAAGAUCCUGCAAGCUGUGCAGUGCAAUAAAGCAAAAAAAAACAAAUAAAGAAACA